GUAGGUGGCAAGCGUUGUCCGGGAAUUAUUGGGGCGUAAAGCGCGCGCAGGCGGUUCUUUAAGUCUGAUGUGAAAGCCCACGGGCUCAACCGCGGAGGGUCAUUGGAAACUGGAGAACUUGAGUACAGAAGAGGAAAGCGGAAUUCCACGUGUAGCGGUGAAAUGCGUAGAGAUGUGGAGGAACACCAGUGGCGAAGGCGGCUUUCUGGUCUGUAACUGACGCUGAGGCGCGAAAGCGUGGGGAGCAAACAGGAUUAGAUACCCUGGUAGUCCACGCCGUAAACGAUGAGUGCUAAGUGUUAGGGGGUUUCCGCCCCUUAGUGCUGCAGCUAACGCAUUAAGCACUCCGCCUGGGGAGUACGGCCGCAAAGGCUG
rnacentral:rRNA from 1 species